rnacentral:rRNA from 1 species
GCAAGUCGAACGCGAAAGGGGCUUCGGCCCUGAGUAGAGUGGCGAACGGGUGAGUAACACGUGGGUGACCUACCUUCGAGUGGGGGAUAACGUCCCGAAAGGGACGCUAAUACCGCAUGACAUCCUGCUUUUGAAGAGGCGGAGAUCAAAGCCGGGGAUCGCAAGACCUGGCGCUUGAAGAGGGGCUCGCGUCCGAUUAGCUAGUUGGUGAGGUAACGGCUCACCAAGGCGACGAUCGGUAGCCGGCCUGAGAGGGCGGACGGCCACACUGGGACUGAGACGCGGCCCAGACUCCUACGGGAGGCAGCAGUGGGGAAUUGUUCGCAAUGGGCGCAAGCCUGACGACGCAACGCCGCGUGGAGGAUGAAGGUCUUCGGAUUGUAAACUCCUGUUGCCCGGGACGAAUGGCUCUGACCUAACACGUCAGAGUGUGACGGUACCGGGUGAGGAAGCCCCGGCUAACUCUGUGCCAGCAGCCGCGGUAAUACAGAGGGGGCAAGCGUUGUUCGGAAUUACUGGGCGUAAAGGGCGCGUAGGCGGCCUGCUAAGUCGAACGUGAAAUCCCCGGGCUCAACCCGGGAACUGCGUCCGAUACUGGCAGGCUUGAAUCCGGGAGAGGGAUGUGGAAUUCCAGGUGUAGCGGUGAAAUGCGUAGAUAUCUGGAGGAACACCGGUGGCGAAGGCGGCAUCCUGGACCGGUAUUGACGCUGAUGCGCGAAAGCCAGGGGAGCAAACGGGAUUAGAUACCCCGGUAGUCCUGGCCCUAAACGAUGAAUGCUUGGUGUGGCGGGUAUCGAUCCCUGCCGUGCCGAAGCUGACGCAUUAAG